rnacentral:tRNA from 2 species
GGGCCCAUAGCUCAGUGGCAGAGCGACAGCCUCUUAAGCUGUGCGUCGUAGGUUCGAAUCCUACUGGGCCCGCCA